GUGCUCGCUUCGGCAGCACAUAUACUAAAAUUGGAACGAUACAGAGAAGAUUAGCAUGAACUCCUGCA
rnacentral:snRNA from 1 species